UAUAAAUUCUUAACAAUAAUUUAGAUUCAGCUUUACAUUAUGCACGCAAACAAGAGAAAACACAUUAUUGAGUAAAACCCGUUGAUUUAUUUUUUUAUGGGCUAUUUUUUUAUUAAAAUAAAUUUAAGUUAAUAUGAUAUCCAAGUAGGAAAGGUAAGAUCUAUGGAAGAUCUCGAGGAAUACAAAGCGAUCAAUGGAGUUAAUAAUGGUUAUUAAUAAUUAAUAAAUUUGAAUCUUGCAAAAUUGAGGCAGCUGGCUAGUUGAUGAAAUAUAGUUAGGUAGAUAGUUGAUGGUGGAGAUUUAGUCAUUAACAGACGAUGACAAAGCUACUGAAUUUUAAUAUACAUUCUUAAAAUCACGAAAGGAAUGUUUAUCAUCGAGCAUAAUAUAGAGAAUAAGAACUUGGUAUUUCCAUGAGAAUGAAGAAUGAUAGGACGCAUGUAAAAGCACGGAAUGUAUUUGUACGGAAUAUUGGUUUCCAACAUUUUUUUUUAAAACUGUAUUUAUGCGGAUUACAUGUUUCCGGAAUGUAUAUACUCGGAUUGUAUUUUUCCACAAACAAAAAAAUUUGUGAACUAUAUUCACGGACCGUGAAACACCGGAAUUGAAAAAUGUGCAAAACGUAUUUGUACGUAUUAUUUGUUCUCGGAUUGUUAAUGCUUGGACUGUAUAUUGUCGGAAAAUAAAUUAUUAAUCACGAACCGUAUUACCUCGGGAAUCUUGGAAAACGUUUGAACCAUUUUUGCAUUCUCGGACAUACUCAACCGGGUGCGUAAAACCAAACCAACAAUUACAAGAUCGUUUGAAAAUCAAAAGUAUUUUUUUCGACUGCGUAAAUAUUAAAUAAGGGCGACUAAAAGAAUGGCAAUUCAACUCAUUAGAGCUACUAAUUUCUUGAGUUGUCAAAGAAAAAAAAAAUCUUAAUCAAGUCAAUAUUUUCCGAGUUAAUGAGUGUUUUAUAGAUUCUAUUAUUAAAUAAUACAGACAGUCUGUAUAGGUAAUAAGCGACUGGGACUAACAACGGUACGCGUUAAUACUUAUAUUUUUUCCAUGAAAUCCGAUUCUUGAUUACGGAUUGGAAAAAUCGGUUUUCCGCAAUUAUACGGUCCAUGACUAUACUUUUUUUCCCCGAAAACAUACAAUCCGGGUUUAUAAGGUUUCCGGUAAAAUAUGGUCUGAGUGUUUACAAUCCGGAAACAAACAUUCUGUAUAAAUACGUUUUGCGUAUUUUUCGAUUCCAGGUUUUUGCGGUCCGUGACUACACGGUUCACAAAUUUUCUUUUUCCGCAGUUCUGCAUUCCGUAAAAAUACAAUUUUAUUCCGAAAUUAUGCAAUCCGAG